CCUACGGGUGGCAGCAGUGAGGAAUAUUGGUCAAUGGGCGGGAGCCUGAACCAGCCAAGCCGCGUGAGGGAAGAAGGUACAGCGUAUCGUAAACCUCUUUUGUCAGGGAACAAAGGCGGGGACUAGUCCCCGGAUGAGGGUACCUGAAGAACAAGCAUCGGCUAACUCCGUGCCAGAAGCCGCGGUAAUACGGAGGAUGCGAGCGUUAUCCGGAUUUAUUGGGUUAAAAGGGUGCGCAGGCGGCCUGUUAAGUCAGCGGUAAAAGCCCGGGGCCCAACCCCGGCGAGCCGUUGAAACUGGCGUGCUGGAGUGGGAGAGAGGUAAGCGGAAUGCGGGGUGUAGCGGUGAAAUGCUUAGAUAUAGGGAGGAACCCCAGUUGCGAAGGCAGCGUGCCGGAUCGAAACUGACGCUGAGGCACGAAAGCGUGGGUAUCGAACAGGAUUAGAUACCCCAGUAGUC
rnacentral:rRNA from 1 species